UCUCUCUCUCUCACGUGAGUAAACUGCGGGUUUUCCCCAAGAAACUGUUUAGCCUUUGAUAUCUACUAAAAUAAAUACUCGCCGUGUAGUGUGAUUACGAGAUUGUUAUCACAACUUCCGUGGGGAAGGUGUGUGUUGGAGGAGAGGACAAUGCUUUCUUGCAUCAGACCACACAGAGGAUGGAAUGGCGAACAAGCUGCUCACAAAAUGUCACACCUUUAUGACACACACUCAUCCUGACAAGAGCGCUGAUCUGUGUGGUGACCGGUCACCUGCACCUCGCUUACAUCCUGCACCUUCACGAGAGGAACAGGUGCACACGAACUGGAGUUCUACUUCAUGAGAAUAAAGGUGUCUGUCGUCUGUUGUAUCAUCUGCGAGGCUGUGCAUUGUGCUUGUGUAAGGAGAAGGGAGGACAAGGUAAUGUUUCAAA